rnacentral:rRNA from 1 species
ACGGCGAGUGAAGCGGGACUAGCUCAGGAUGUGAAUCUGCGCUUUUAUGGCGCCGAAUUGUGGUCUGUAGACUUUGACGUUAUCUGCCGGGCCAAGUUCCUUGGAAAAGGACAGCUGAGAGGGUGAAACUCCCGUUCGCCUGGUAGAAUGAGUCUUUGUCAACGAGUCGAGUUGUUUGGGAUUGCAGCUCUAAUUUGGUGGUAAAUUCCAUCUAAAGCUAAAUAUUGGUGGGAGACCGAUAGCGUACAAGUACCGUGAGGGAAAGAUGCAAAGAACUUUGAAAAGAGAGUUAAAGAGUACCUGAAAUUGCUGAAACGGAAGCGAAGGAAACCAGUGUUUGUUGGUUCAUAUUUCCCUGGCCACUUGUGGUUUGGGCGCUGUGAGCUUGCGUGGGUUUGGGUUGGUUGAUCCCUUUGGAAGAGCGCAGUCAGAGUUGAUGUCUGUUGCUAGC